rnacentral:rRNA from 1 species
GACAGAGGGUGCAAACGUUGCUCGGAAUCACUGGGCGUAAAGGGCGUGUAGGCGGGAAGGCAAGUCAGAUGUGAAAUCCCUGGGCUCAACCCAGAAACUGCAUUUGAAACUCCCUUUCUUGAGUGUCGGAGAGGAAAGUGGAAUUCCUGGUGUAGAGGUGAAAUUCGUAGAUAUCAGGAGGAACACCGGUGGCGAAGGCGGCUUUCUGGACGACAACUGACGCUGAGACGCGAAAGCGUGGGGAGCAAACAGG